GUUCGGUUGCCAUAGCAUUUCUCGUGCAAUCGCUAAAAAUGACAAUCACGUUUUAAUUGCGAGAAAUGUGUAACAAUGCGUUUGUAUCUCGAGUCACCGCUUUUGUUUUUUUCUGUUCGUGAGUAUAUUCUGUCAGUUUUAAGUUAUCUGUCUGUCUGUCUGUCUAAUCACCCUCUGGCACAGUUCAAAUUCGCUUGGCGUCCAUACAGACCGAAGCACGUGGAUUUGGUAGCUUUCACUAAGUAAACACAUCUUACAAGUGUUCCCUCCACGCAUACGCUUUUAAAACUGACAUCAUUGUUUUUGGGCCACGAGAAGUGUCAAAAAUCACAAUUUGCUAUGGUAGGUAAAUUUACAACGACUUCUGUCAAGGACGAGAUGUUGUAGAGAGCU
rnacentral:lncRNA from 1 species